UACGUAGGGGGGCAAGCGUUGUCCGGAUUUAUUGGGCGUAAAGAGCGUGUAGGCGGCUUUGCAAGUCCGUUGUGAAAACUCGAGGCUCAACCUCGAGACGCCGGUGGAAACUGCAAAGCUAGAGUCCGGAAGAGGAGAGUGGAAUUCCUGGUGUAGCGGUGAAAUGCGCAGAUAUCAGGAAGAACACCCGUGGCGAAGGCGGCUCCUCUGGGACGG
rnacentral:rRNA from 1 species